AUUGAACGCUGGCGGAAUGCUUUACACAUGCAAGUCGAGCGGCAGCGCGGGGGCAACCCUGGCGGCGAGCGGCGAACGGGUGAGUAAUACAUCGGAACGUGUCCUUGAGUGGGGGAUAGCUCGGCGAAAGCCGGAUUAAUACCGCAUAAGCUCUGCGGAGGAAAGCGGGGGACUGGUAACGGCCUCGCGCUGUUGGAGCGGCCGAUGUCGGAUUAGCUAGUUGGUGGGGUAAAGGCCCACCAAGGCGACGAUCCGUAGCUGGUCUGAGAGGAUGAUCAGCCACACUGGAACUGAGACACGGUCCAGACUCCUACGGGAGGCAGCAGUGGGGAAUUUUGGACAAUGGGGGCAACCCUGAUCCAGCCAUUCCGCGUGAGUGAAGAAGGCCUC
rnacentral:rRNA from 1 species